GUCCAGGGGCGGGAAUCGAACCCACAACCUAGCCUAGUGGACAUGGCACCUGCCCGGUAAGCAGAAGGUUGUGGGUUCGAUUCCCGCCCCUGGACA